rnacentral:lncRNA from 1 species
AAUUGCCAGACAAAAUGUGAAUCAUAAUCUAGAAGUUCUGUUGAGCAAUGGACUUGAUUUUGAGUAACACAGCAUGUCAUUUUGCAAGAGUGGAUAAGGAGGUGUUGAGCAACACGAGGUGCUACAACCUAAAUUAACCUCUUUUCCAAUGAAUCAUGCUCCAGUUUGUAUCACAUGAUGCUUGAGGGGAAUAUAAGGAAAACUGAAUGGAUGGAGUUCCUGGACAAAAUUUUAGUAUGUCAUAAUGGGCAAUUAAAAAUUCAUUAGGCUAUUAUUGUGAUUCAAGUAUGGAACUUUCAUUCAUUAUCUCUAAGUUUUGCCAGUGGCUCUUUUUGUACUGCCAUAUGUUGAUCAUUGGUUAUGUUAACAGUAACAUGGUAAAUUUGUUUCCUUAUGACAUUAUGUGGGUGUGUUAACAGGUUGCUGCUUAGUAUAAAUGUCCUUUUUUAAGCUUGGGGAACCACAAGAAUUAAUAUAGAUUUUACAAAUGCAAAACCUUCAUAUUUUUUCCAUUAAGAUUCAGCUCAGUCUCUGUUUAGUAGACAUCCUUUCCCUGCCCCAUAUUUUCUUUGAUCAACUCCUUUUCCCCCUGACUUUUACCUUUAAAUUGGCAUCCCAUCUCAUAAAGAGGUCUAUAAAUCCAACCAGUAGAUCACUUCCCAGACAGUCCAGAAGAGAGAAGAAAGAGGAAGGAAGAGGAGAAGGAGGAGAAGGAGAAGGAAGAAGGAGGAGAAGAAGGGAAACUACAGAAUUCGCUCUGGUCCUGACCCCCACAUCUUCAAGAAAAUCUAUUCCAAAGGAUACCAGGCAAACUAAACUCUAAAUCAAGGGAAGCUUGGAAAUCUAUGCUUGAACCAGGUCCUUUCUUCAUUGUGCCUUCAGUGGUUCUGUGAUCCAAUGAUUAUAUCUGGUCACAGCUGUUGCAAGAGGAUGAAGCUGUCAAGAAAAUUUCCAGGAAAAUUUGAUAGGUUCUUAUUUCUUGCUUUUCCAAAGUCUAAACUGUUCAAAUGUACAUUUGAGAAGCAGCGUUGCCUAGUGGAAUGAGCAAGAGCCUCAGAAUCAGAGGCCCUGGGUUCUAAUUUCAGCUUUGCCAGUUGCCUGCUGUGUGACCUUGGGCAAAUCACUUAACUUCUCUGUUCCUCAGUUCUCUCAUCUGCAAAAUGGGAAUUCAGUAUCUGUUCUCCAUCCUAUUUAGACUGUGAGCCCCCUGUGGGGCCUGAUUAUCUUGUCUCUAU